GAUGAACGCUAGCGACAGGCCUAACACAUGCAAGUCGAGGGGUAACGAUGGUAGCUUGCUACCAGGCGACGACCGGCGCACGGGUGAGUAACGCGUAUGCAACCUUCCUUUAACAGGAGAAUAGCCCCCGGAAACGGGGAUUAAUGCUCCAUAGUAAUUAUUUGCCACCUGACAGAUAAUUUAAAGUUCCGACGGUUAAAGAUGGGCAUGCGUGACAUUAGCCAGUUGGCGGGGUAACGGCCCACCAAAGCAACGAUGUCUAGGGGUUCUGAGAGGAAGGUCCCCCACACUGGUACUGAGACACGGACCAGACUCCUACGGGAGGCAGCAGUGAGGAAUAUUGGUCAAUGGACGCAAGUCUGAACCAGCCAUGUCGCGUGCAGGAUGACUGCCCUAUGGGUUGUAAACUGCUUUUGUACGGGAAGAAAUAUAGCUACGUGUAGUUAUUUGCCGGUACCGUACGAAUAAGCAUCGGCUAACUCCGUG
rnacentral:rRNA from 1 species